rnacentral:rRNA from 1 species
UGAAUACGAGAUGCUACGGCGUCGAAGCAGUCUAUGUCAUACUUCCAAGAAAAGCUCGCACUGUCAUAAACAAAUAAUGCCUGUACCAUAACCGACACAGGUGGGUAGGUAGAGUAUACUAAGGGGCGCGAGAUAACUCUCUCUAAGGAACUCGGCAAAAUGACUCCGUAACUUCGGGAGAAGGAGUGCCUUAUUUAUAAGGUUGCAAUAACAAGAUCCAAGCAACUGUUUAUCAAAAACACAGGUCUCCGCUAAGUCGUAAGACGAUGUAUGGGGGCUGACGCCUGCCCAGUGCCAGAAGGUUAAAGAAGUUGGUUAGCAUUCGCGAAGCUGAUAACUGAAGCCCUGGUGAACGGCGGCCGUAACUAUAACGGUCCUAAGGUAGCGAAAUUCCUUGUCGGGUAAGUUCCGACCCGCACGAAAGGCGUAAUGAUUUGGAUACUGUCUCGGAGAGGGGCUCGGUGAAAUAGACUUGUCUGUGAAGAUGCGGACUACCUGCACCAGGACAGAAAGACCCUAUGAAGCUUUACUGUAACUUGAGAUUGAAAUUGGACUUUACUUGCGCAGUAUAGGUGGGAGGCGUUGAUAAUAUUCUUGCGGGAUUAUUUGAGCCAUCAGUGAGAUACCACUCUUGUAAUGUUAGAUUUCUAACUUUGUAUCAUUAUCUGGUCAAAGGACAGUUUCAGGCGGGCAGUUUGACUGGGGCGGUCGCCUCCUAAACGGUAACGGAGGCGCACAAAGGUUUCCUCUGAACGGGUAGAAAUCGUAUCUAGAGUGUAAAGGCAUAAGGAAGCUUGACUGUGAGACCUACAAGUCGAGCAGGGACGAAAGUCGGUCUUAGUGAUCUGACGGUGCUGAGUGGAAAGGCCGUCACUCAACGGAUAAAAGUUACUCUAAGGAUAACAGGCUGAUCUCCCCCAAGAGUUCACAUCGACGGGGAGGUUUGGCACCUCGAUGUCGGCUCAUCGCAUCCUGGGGCGGUAGUACGUCCCAAGGGUUGGGCUGUUCGCCCAUGAAAGCGGUACGCGAGCUGGGUUCAGAACGUCGUGAGACAGUUCGGUCCAUAUCCGGUGUAGGCGUUAGAAUAUUGAGAGGAGCCUUCUUUAGUACGAGAGGACCGAGAAGGACAUACCUCUGGUGUACCAGUUAUCGUGCCAACGGUAAACGCUGGGUAGCUAUGUAUGGAGUGGAUAACCGCUGAAAGCAUCUAAGUGGGAAGCCCACCUCAAGAUAAGUAUUCUCA